GAUGAACGCUGGCGGCGUGCCUAAUACAUGCAAGUCGAACGCAACUUUCUUACACCGAUGCUUGCAUCACCGUAAGAAAGUUGAGUGGCGGACGGGUGAGUAACACGUGGGUAACCUGCCCAGAAGAGGGGGAUAACACUUGGAAACAGGUGCUAAUACCGCAUAUCUCUAAGAAUCGCAUGGUUCUUAGAUGAAAGAUGGUUCUGCUAUCGCUUCUGGAUGGACCCGCGGCGCAUUAACUAGUUGGUGGGGUAACGGCCUACCAAGGUGAUGAUGCGUAGCCGAACUGAGAGGUUGAUCGGCCACAUUGGGACUGAGACACGGCCCAAACUCC
rnacentral:rRNA from 1 species